AAGUACGGUAAUUACGUGGGACGUAAAGCGCAUGCAGGCGGCCUAGUUAAGUCAGAUGUAGAAACGGCCCGGGGACCUUAACCGUACGGUAAGUUGCUAUUUAGAAACGUGGCGAGGCUAGAGUCUUGUAGGAGGGGGUAGGAAUUUCAGGUGUAGCGGUGAAAAUGCGUAGAGAUCUGAAGGAAUACCAGUGGCGAAGGCCGGCCCCCUGGACAAAGACUGACGCUCAGAUGCGAAAGCGUGGGGAGCAAACAGGAUUAGAUACCCUGGUAG
rnacentral:rRNA from 1 species